rnacentral:tRNA from 1 species
GGGGAUAUAGCUCAGUUGGCUAGAGCGCCGCAAUCGCACUGCGGAGGUCAGGGGUUCGACUCCCCUUAUCUCCA